AUCUAUGAGAUCAUAUAAACACAGAAUGAUGUCAGUGAAAAAGGCAAGGUAAAGAGCACCAAAAGUCAAUCCCAACAUAAAAGGAAUGAGAAAACAUGUCAAAAACCAUGAGAAUCAAUUUUCUCUCUACUCAGGAAACUAACCAAAAGCUGCAGCAACCAGGGGAAUGCUUAACAAGAAAAACCAGGCAUUUAAGGAUAUCUCUGUCUAAUCACAAGCUGACCACUAUGUUAAAGGGCAGAGAUUUUAGUGGCCACACACAACAAAGAUUGUGGGCUUUACUAAACUAGUUCAAAAGAAUCACUAAACAAUAACUACUGCAACAAACAGCAACAACAAAUCCUGAGGAAGGGAGAGAAUUUGAUUUCUUGAGUUACCACAUUAUAAUACUCAAAAUGACAAGUUAUCAACAAAAAACUAUAAAGAAAUACAAAGAACCAAGGAAGUAUGGCCCAUAUGUAUGAAAAAAGGCUAGAAGCUAUCCCAGAAGAAGCCCAGACAAUGAAAAUGAUGUUUUACCAAAUAGAGAAUAUCAAUAAAAAGACAGAUUUUUUUUUAAACAUAUUAUUUAAAAAGAGCCAAAAAGAAAUUUUGGAGUUGAAAAAUACAAUAAAUGAAGUGAAAAUUCAUUAGGGAGCUAAAGAACAGAUGUAAGCAGGAAGAAGGCAGAAUCAGUAAACUUUAGAAGUCAAUGAAGAUUAAGUGAGGAACAGAAGAGAAAAAAAUUAAGAAAAAUAAAAUCUAAAAGAUUUGUGGGAUACCAUCAAGUGUACCAACAUAUACAUAAUGGGAGUCCCAGAAGAAGAAAGGGCAGAAAGAUUAUUUGAAGAAAUAAUGGUCAAACACAUCCCAAAUGUGAUCGAAGACAUUCAAGAAACUUAGUGAAUGCCAAAUAGGAUAAGAUUAGAGAUCCACACCUACACACGGCAUUAUCAAACAGUUAAAGACAAAGGCAAAAAAAAAAAAAAAAAAAAGAAUGCUGAAAGCAGCAAGAGAAGCAAUUUGUUCCACACAAGGAAUUCUCAAUAACAAUGAUUUCUUGUCAGAAACCAUGGAAACGAGAAGGCAGUGGGUUAACAUAUCCAAAAUACUGGAACAAAGACUGUCAACCAAGAAUUAUAUUCCCAGCAAAACUAGACUUCAGAAUGAAAGCGUGAUAGAAGUGACAGAAGAAAAAAAUACAGAAAUCAGACUUCUUCAAAAAGAAAAACUUCUAUACAAAAGACAUUAUCAAGAAACUGAAAAAAACAACAAAAAGAAUAGGACAAAAUAUUUGCAAACCAUGUAUCUGCUAAGCGUCUAGUACCCAGAUAUCCAGAUACAUAAACAAUGUUUACUACUCAACAAAAAGACUACACAAUUAAAAAGCGGACAAAGGACUUGAAAUGACAUUUGUCCAAAGUUAUACAUACCAAUGGCCAAUGAGCACAUGAGAAGUCUAUUCCACAUCAUUAGCCAUUAGGAAAUGCAAAUUGAAUUCACAAUGAGAUACCACUUGACACCAACAGAGAUGGCUACGUUAAAAAAAAAAAAAGAAAAAUGUACAAUAAGUGUUACUGAGGAUGUGAAAAAAAAUGAAACCCUCGAAUAUUGCUGGUAGUAAUGUAAAAUGGUCUGGUCCCUCUGGAAAAUGGU